AGAGUUUGAUCCUGGCUCAGGACGAACGCUGGCGGCGUGCCUAAUACAUGCAAGUCGAGCGAGCUUGCCUAGAUGAUUUUAGUGCUUGCACUAAAUGAAACUAGAUACAAGCGAGCGGCGGACGGGUGAGUAACACGUGGGUAACCUGCCCAAGAGACUGGGAUAACACCUGGAAACAGAUGCUAAUACCGGAUAACAACACUAGACGCAUGUCUAGAGUUUGAAAGAUGGUUCUGCUAUCACUCUUGGAUGGACCUGCGGUGCAUUAGCUAGUUGGUAAGGUAACGGCUUACCAAGGCAAUGAUGCAUAGCCGAGUCGAGAGACUGAUCGGCCACAUUGGGACUGAGACACGGCCCAAACUCCUACGGGAGGCAGCAGUAGGGAAUCUUCCACAAUGGACGAAAGUCUGAUGGAGCAACGCCGCGUGAGUGAAGAAGGGUUUCGGCUCGUAAAGCUCUGUUGGUAGUGAAGAAAGAUAGAGGUAGUAACUGGCCUUUAUUUGACGGUAAUUACUUAGAAAGUCACGGCUAACUACGUGCCAGCAGCCGCGGUAAUACGUAGGUGGCAAGCGUUGUCCGGAUUUAUUGGGCGUAAAGCGAGUGUAGGCGGUUCAAUAAGUCUGAUGUGAAAGCCUUCGGCUCAGCCGGAGAAUUGCAUCAGAAACUGUUGAACUUGAGUGCAGAAGAGGAGAGUGGAACUCCAUGUGUAGCGGUGGAAUGCGUAGAUAUAUGGAAGAACACCAGUGGCGAAGGCGGCUCUCUGGUCUGCAACUGACGCUGAGGCUCGAAAGCAUGGGUAGCGAACAGGAUUAGAUACCCUGGUAGUCCAUGCCGUAAACGAUGAGUGCUAAGUGUUGGGAGGUUUCCGCCUCUCAGUGCUGCAGCU
rnacentral:rRNA from 1 species